rnacentral:sRNA from 1 species
AGACAAGAGAGCCAUCUGUUGCAACAUCUGUCACCCCAUUGGUCACCGGGGUAGAUUCAACUCAUCUGGCUCGCUAGGCAGCCGUCUCCUUCCUCCCUUGUAUCUCCAUGUUUGUCCCUCUCAACUCUGUGUGCUUGCUUGAAAAGAAUGACUCUGAUAGAGAAGGGAUACUCUCUACUCCACGGUUUACAUUUACAGUAUCCACUCCAGAGUUUAUGGUAUCCAUUCCAGAGUUUACAGUAUCCACUCCAAGAUUUACAGUAUCU